UUCAUUGAUCAAGAACGAAAGUUAGAGGUUCGAAGGCGAUCAGAUACCGCCCUAGUNNANNCANAAACGAUGCCAGCUAGCGAUCCGCCGAAGUUCCUCCGAUGACUCGGCGGGCAGCUUCCGGGAAACCAAAGCUUUUGGGUUCCGGGGGAAGUAUGGUUGCAAAGCUGAAACUUAAAGGAAUUGACGGAAGGGCACCACCAGGAGUGGAGCCUGCGGCUUAAUUUGACUCAACACGGGAAACCUCACCAGGCCCGGACACCGGAAGGAUUGACAGAUUGAGAGCUCUUUCUUGAUUCGGUGGGUGGUGGUGCAUGGCCGUUCUUAGUUGGUGGAGCGAUUUGUCUGGUUAAUUCCGAUAACGAACGAGACUCUGGCCUGCUAACUAGGCGUAUUUCCGACAUCUCGAAGGCCCGCCGGCCUGGUGCGCUCGCGCGCCUAGUCGUGCGCGGUUUUUACUGUCGGCGUACAAACAAUUCUUCUUAGAGGGACAGGCGGCUUCUAGCCGCACGAGAUAGAGCAAUAACAGGUCUGUGAUGCCCUUAGAUGUUCUGGGCCGCACGCGCGCUACACUGAAGGAAUCAGCGUGUCCUCCCUGGCCGAGCGGCCCGGGUAACCCGCUGAACCUCCUUCGUGCUAGGGAUUGGGGCUUGCAAUUGUUCCCCAUGAACGAGGAAUUCCCAGUAAGCGCGAGUCAUAAGCUCGCGUUGAUUACGUCCCUGCCCUUUGUACACACCGCCCGUCGCUACUACCGAUUGAAUGAUUUAGUGAGGUCUUCGGACCGGCACGCGGUGGCGUUUCGACGUCGCCGAUGCUGCUGGAAAGAUGACCAAACUUGAUCAUUUAGAGGAAGUAAAAGGUCGUA
rnacentral:rRNA from 1 species